GGGCGGGGCGAGCGCGGUGGGCGGGGCCCGGCCGGGGUCCGACCCCAGGCGCGGAAGGAAGAGCCCCGCAGCGCGAGUAACUUGAAGGCGGUUUCCGCUGCCUCGCGAGUCUUCCUGUUUGUUUUUAAUCAAAGGUCCGGCAGAAUUGCCCCUAGGACCUCACGUCCCUGUGCACCAAAGCGUUUUCGACACCCCCCCCCAGAGACUUGGCUUGCUCCUAGGCCAGCCACGACAGGGGAGCCCACGCGGGAGCGUGGCAGGAAAGGCUGGCCUGGCAGAUGCCUGCAGUCGUUUCCGGAGCUGGGCUCGCGUCGGGGGUCGCGGCUGUCACGGGCGUCUGGGCGUCGCUGACUCUCGAAGGCAGAGUGCAUUUUUGUGCGGAGCGCGUCCAGGCCUUGAUCUCUGCAGCGCUCUGGCGGGCUCAGGACGUUCGUUGCCCUCCGCGCCGUGGGCACUGGUAAAGGCCAGCGCUCUGGGAGACACCCGAGACAUGAUUUAUUUCUGA
rnacentral:lncRNA from 1 species